rnacentral:rRNA from 1 species
UACGGAGGGUGCAAACGUUGCUCGGAAUCAUUGGGCGUAAAGCGCACGUAGGCGGCCUGUUAAGUCGGGUGUGAAAGCCCUGGGCUCAACCCAGGAAGUGCACUCGAAACUGGCAGGCUUGAAUAUGGAAGAGGGUCGCGGAAUUCCCGGUGUAGAGGUGAAAUUCGUAGAUAUCGAGAGGAACACCGGCGGCGAAGGCGGCCAUCUGGACGAGGACUGACGCUGAGAUGCGAAAGCGUGGGGAGCAAACAGG